GCUAUUACUUAUAUGUUGCA
rnacentral:miRNA from 1 species